rnacentral:misc_RNA from 1 species
CGCCUUGCCUUUGUCAUGCAUCUUGCUUCCGCAUUUAAGCGUUUGAGUGUAAGUUUAGAAUCCAAAGAUGGAUGCCUAUACUUCUUUGAGAAGCGUUCCUUGACAAUAGACCUCCUUCCAACAAAAUUAGACUCAAAAACUCUCGCUUCAGCGCCUUGCUUUAUCAGAAUGAGGGAGCCAUCUUUGACAUCUAAAUCGAUCUCCAUACAAUUGUGUAUAAAUAGCAGCUAUUAUCCUUCGACAGCGCAAUUCAGCGGCGGAAAGCAGAGAAAGCUAAACCCUUGAACCCCCAAUUUUU